rnacentral:rRNA from 1 species
UUGAAAGGGAAACGAUUGAAGUCAGUCGUACCGACGGACAAUCAGCCUUUUGAGUGCGAUUCUGUGGGGCAUGAGGAGGAAACCCUCAUGUUUUGCAUAUUUGUGCUCUUUGGGUGUAUUUGUUCGUAUGGUGGGUUAACAUCAAUUUUGGUCGUCAUAAAAUGACGGGAGGAAUGUAGCUUUGGUCUCGUAUUGAAGUGUUAUAGCCUCUGGUAGAUGUGACGACCGGGAUUGAGG